CCUCUUCCUAGUUCCGCGCGUUCGGAGCACUGUGCCGUCGCUGCUGCGCUCUCCAGUGCCGGGCGCUUGGGAGAUUUUUCGCUGGCAAUUUGGGGCCGAGGGGAGGGCAUUUAGGCCUAAUUCGUUUGUUUUAGUAUUGGAUUAGGGGCCCAACUUCUCCUCUCAAAGGCCGAGCAGGGAAGGUUUCGCAUGGCUACGUGCUUGCUAGUUCGUGACUCUGACUCCCAUAGAGUAUCCGAGUCUCCGCGUUCACAGUUUUAAGAUUCCCUGGAAGGGAUGUUGGUUAGGACCUCAUUCCUUCGUGUAAUUCCGAUGCAGUGAUUACAUCUCUCUGCCCUCCGCUGGGCUGUAAUGUCCGGCCCGAGGCCUUACUGUUUGAGCCUAAGUUUAUUCAACUGUAAGAUCAGGAUAACAUCUUGCUGAGCAUUAACAGAACUAGUGUAACUAUCGCCUAGUAGAAUGCCCCAAGCAUUUGUUAGAUGUCUUUAUCUUUCCUCCCUACUCGAGUUCCAUUCUGUGGAUGCAUUCUGGAUGAAACCACUGGGGCAGGAAGUUUGAAGAUGGAGAUCUUAAAUUUCAGCGGCUUAUUCACAGAAGAGAGGAAAAGGAUAAGACAAAUCUUGGGGCAAAUCCACACCUGGAUGAAGAUGAACCAUCAGGGGAGAGAAGACGAGAGAAGUAGGAGGCAAACCUGAAGACUGGUUCAAAAUGUAAGGAAUGAUAAUUGAUAAACAUAAGUGAAUGAUUGGAAUGAUUAGUAUUUAGAGCUGGAGAAUACAUAAAUGAUCAUUCUAUCUAGUUCCUUUAUUUUACAUUGGGGAACUGAAGCUUUGAGAGAAGUGGAUUUUGCUUCCUUCUUAGUAGAGCUUGUUUUUCUAUACAUUAGCUUACACCAACUUAACUUCCCAAGGAAAAUGGCUGAUGCCAACCUCUAAUGAAUUACCAAGUUAAAAAUAAAAAUAAAUUCAGUUCUUCUUUUUACAUGUAUUUUUUGCCUUGAUGAGAUUAUUGAAUUUACGUAGUGAUAUUCUAAUGCCAAAUCCUAUGAUCUUCAAAACAUUUCUUAGCAUAUAUGAUCCAUGUAUUCUAAGACAUUCAUUUACCCCUAGACUGUGAGUAAAAAGAGCUCAGUAGAGGGGUUGAAGUUUAAUAACAAAGUUUCUGUGACAUCAACUAAAGGAACCAGACAUUAUGGUAAAGUGCUUAGCAUAUUCAAUGAAUCCCUAUAACAUUCUGAAAAUAUUACUAUUGUCCUCAUUUAAAAAAACUAGUAAUACUUAAUUUGGGAACACUACAUUGCAUAUGGAUAAAACUGGGAAGUUUGGUUUGAUCGGUGUUGACAUGUGCACACCCAUUGCCUUGGUCCAUUCAUGCUGCUAUAACAAAAUACUACAGAUUGGGUAGCUUAUAAACAACAGUUAUUUAUUUCUCACAAUUCUGGAGGCUAGAGUCCAAGAUGAAGGGACAGUCCUCUUCCUUGUUCAUAGCUGGCCUGUUCUAGUUGUGUACUUAUAUGUUCGAAGGGGUGAGGGAGUUCUUUGGAACUCUCUUAUAAGAGCACUUAAUCUCAUUGAACAAAUAAACAGUCAAGGGUGUUAGACAAACCUACCCUUGUUUAUUAGGUACCUCAUGAUUUAAGCACUUCCCAAAGGCCCCAAUUCCUAAUACCAUCAUUUUUUGGAGGUUAGGAUUUCAGCAUAUGAGUUUUCCAAGGACACAUUCAGACUCAUUAAACCAUGACCACAAUCAAGAUAACAAUCAUACAUUACCCCCAGCUGUUCUCUUCUGCUCUUUUGUAAUCCAUCUGUCCUCUAGCUCCAUCCCCAGACAGCCACUCUCUGUCAAUAUAGAUUAGUUUGCACUUCCUUGAAUUUAAAUUAAUGGAAUCAUACACUAUGUUCUCUUUUUGCCUAGCUUCUUUGACUCAGCAUAAUUUUGAAAUUCAUUUUUGUUGCUUCUAUGAACAGGUUGUAGUUUGUUUUUAUUACUGGAUAGUAUUCCAGUAUUGGAUUUGCCACAAUUUGUUUAUACAGUCGUCUGCUGAUGAGCAUUUGGAUUUCUAGUUUGGGCUGUUAAAAAUAAAGCUGCUGUGAACAUUU